rnacentral:lncRNA from 1 species
CCGUUGUCAUAACCACUACUACCACCACCACCAUCACCAUCACUACCAACAUUCCCACCACCACAACUUCUACUACUAUUACUACUAUGAUUUUAUUUUCUACGACCAUUACCACAUUCAUUACCACUACUACUACUACUACUACUACUACUACUACUACUACUACUACUAAUACUACCACCACCACCACCACCACCACCGCCACCACCAUCAUCGCCAUCACCACUACCAUCAUCCUCCUCCUUGUCCUCCUCCGCAUCAUCAUCACCAUCAUCAUCAGUGUGAAAGCUUCUACGUAGUUGCUUGAUGACAUGCUAGAAAGAGUAGUCCCUUCUCCCUCAGUCACGCUUUGCGUUCCUGAAAACGGAAAGGAUGCCUUAGAAAAUGCUGUACUCAAUAUACAAAUGAUGGAAUGGUCAUGUUUGGAAUGCCCUUUGGUCACUGAUUUGUCCAACGAGGGCGACUUGGUGCUUUACAAUAUCAUCGUCAUCAUCAUCACCACCACCACCACCACCACCAUCAUCAUCAUCAUCACCACCACCAUCAUCAUCACCAUCAUCAUCAUCAUCACCACUAUCAUCAUCAUCAUCAUCAUUAUCAUCAUCAUCAACAGCAACAAUAAUAACAACCACAAGGGUAACAACAGUAUGAACAAUUCAAGAAAUAAUGCAGUUGUGGUGGUGGUGAGUUGUUCUGGUUGCAUUUGUUCUGAUGUCCUGUGCUCUGCGUUCAAAUCUCACCAAGGCCAACUUUGGCAUUUAUCCUUUUCGGGUCAACUAAAAGAAAAUAAAAAAACCCACCCGAUGCGGUUCAUUGGCAAAAGUGUAAGAAUUUCGGACCGAAUAUUUUGCAAUGUUUGUUUUUAAUGCAUCGAUAAUACAGUGGGUAGGACUGCACUAGUGUUUACUAAACAAUUGUGUUUGAUAGUGUGGUGAGACCACUGCUGAGUUUUGAACCAUAGCUCUCAGAUUUUGCCAGUGUAGAACAGAGGCCUAAUGUAUCUCCGUAAAAAGAAUAGUAUCGCCAAAAAAGGGUAUCAACACUUACGUGAAUAUAGUUCGACUAGUCGGUACUGGCUGACUUAUCAUGGUCGACACGGCAAAAUUCAGUUUUGCCGAAGGUUCUAGAACGCUGGCUUACAGUUAUAAAAAGACAACAAAUUCAACCUCAGACCAGAGUCAUUCAGUCGUCUAGGGAAACCUAUGUCACACGGUUCGCCGAAUUGGUCUCUCGCUCUUACGCUCUUUCACUUUUUCGACAAAAGGCACCAACCAAUAGGCGCAGGAGUGGCUGUGUGGUAAGCAGCUUACUUACCAACCACAUGGUUCCGGGUUCAGUCCCACUGCGUGGCACCUUGGGCAAGUGUCUUCUACUAUAGCCUCGGGCCGACCAAAGCCUUGUAAGUGGAUUUGGUAGACGGAAACUGAAAGAAGCCCGUCGUAUAUAUGUAUAUAUAUAUAUAUGUGUGUAUAUAUUUGUGUGUCUAUGUUUGUCCCCUAGCAUUGCUUGACAACUGAUGCUGGUGUGUUUAUGUCCCCGUUACUUAGCGGUUCGGCAAAAUAGACCGAUAGAAUAAGUACUGGGCUUACAAAAGAAUAAGUCCCGGGGUCGAAUUGCUCGAUUAAAGGCGGUGCUCCAGCAUGGCCGCAGUCAAAUGACUGAAAGAAGAAAAAGAAAAAGAGAAAGAGAACCUUAAGUUGUAGUGUCGAGUAACGCACAGUAAUUAUUUACAGUGAUUAAAAUUCCUUCUUUAUAUUUCGUCAUCAGAGAUAUGCACUACUACUUUUAUAAUACUGUGUAACAAGUCCGUAUUACAGAAGAUCCGCUGCUGUUAUGUUUGCUGAAUGUUGUUCCAUUAAUUUCUUGGGUGUAUACUUGUCAAUAUAAACGAUGCAAGUCAAUAGAAUAAUUGAAAAAUUCAAUAAAAUUUUCAUGUGGUCAUUGACUUCUGACACACAGCCUUGCUAACACUGAAUAUCCAACAAAGAAUAUAUAUUGCUAAACAUCACACUAAACUACAAGGUGUAUUCCAGAAAUUUAAGGAGUUUUUCAGGGGAUACAUUUAUUAAUUUCGAAGAAGUACAAAACCCUAAUUUCUUUCAAAGCAGGAGCCUCUGACUUUAAUACAUUUGUAUCGUUUCAGCCACUGUGUAGAUGUAGAGACUCGAAGCUAAUACCACAUAUAAAAAAAUAAGCUGGCGAGCAUAUGGCGUAGUGGUUAAGAGCGCGGGCUACUAACCCUAAGAUUCCGAGUUCGAUUCCAGGCAGUGACCUGAAUAAUAAUAAUAAUAAUAAUAAUAAUAAUAAUAAUAAUAAUAAUAAUAAUAAUAAUAAUAACAACAACAACAACAUACUUUAGGAACGAGAAACCCAGGUUCGAAAUUUCCUCAAGACUCCUGAUGCAGGCUGGAGGGUAUAUCAGCCGAAACGUUGUGUUAACAAUAAACAAAAUGUUCCCCGUGAACUACGUUAAGGGUACACAUGUCUGUGGAGUGCUCAG